ACCUCUUUGUUUUCCCAUUUCUUGGGAUUGAAUUUUCCUUUCUACUCCUCUUAAGAAAUCCAUGAGGAUUCAAUCAGCCUUGAAGCAACUCAGGAGGCUUCCAGCUUGAGACCUGGAAAUCUAGAAACGCUUGAAGCAUUUGGAGGUCUUGAACUUUAGCAGAUUCCUCCUAUUAAGUGGAAAUCACCCAAAAGUACUGGCCCACGGCUGGACCUCCCUUUGGAAGGAUGAGAUGUUAUGUGACAAUUAGGAGUAACCUUUUCAUCAAAUCAAAGUGCAAAAAUUGAGGGGGAACUGAAUAAAAGAAUAUUCCACUACAA